rnacentral:rRNA from 1 species
AUUGAACGCUGGCGGCAGGCCUAACACAUGCAAGUCGAACGGUAACAGGAAGAAGCUUGCUUCUUUGCUGACGAGUGGCGGACGGGUGAGUAAUGUCUGGGAAACUGCCUGAUGGAGGGGGAUAACUACUGGAAACGGUAGCUAAUACCGCAUAAAGUCGCAAGACAAAAGAGGGGGACCUUCGGGCCUCUUGCCAUCGGAUGUGCCCAGAUGGGAUUAGCUAGUUGGUGGGGUAACGGCUCACCAAGGCGACGAUCCCUAGCUGGUCUGAGAGGAUGACCAGCCACACUGGAACUGAGACACGGUCCAGACUCCUACGGGAGGCAGCAGUGGGGAAUAUUGCACAAUGGGCGCAAGCCUGAUGCAGCCAUGCCGCGUGUAUGAAGAAGGCCUUCGGGUUGUAAAGUACUUUCAGCGGGGAGGAAGGGAGUAAAGUUAAUACCUUUGCUCAUUGACGUUACCCGCAGAAGAAGCACCGGCUAACUCCGUGCCAGCAGCCGCCGCAG